rnacentral:rRNA from 1 species
AUUGAACGCUGGCGGCAGGCCUAACACAUGCAAGUCGAGCGGAGCGGCGGACGGGUGCGUAAUGCCUAGGACUCUGCCUGGUCGUGGGGGAUAACGUCCGGAAACGGGAGCUGAUACUGCAUCCUAUCAGAUGCGCCUAGGGCGGAUUAGCUAGUUGGUGGGGUAAAGGCCUACCAAGGCGACGAUCCCUAACUGGUCUGAGAGGAUGAUCAGUCACACUGGAACUGAGACACGGUCCAGACUCCUACGGGAGGCAGCAGUGGGGAAUAUUGGACAAUGGGCGAAAGCCUGAUCCAGCCAUGCCGCGUGUGUGAAGAAGGUCUUCGGAUUGUAAAGCACUUUAAGUUGGGAGGCGUUACCAGCAGAAUAAGCACCGGCUAACUUCGUGCCAGCAGCCGCGGUAAUUC